rnacentral:rRNA from 1 species
GACGCACCGUGCAAACGUUGUUCGGAAUCACUGGGCUUAAAGGGCGCGUAGGCGGGCCAGCCAGUCUGUGGUGAAAGCCUCCAGCUUAACUGGAGAAGUGCCGUGGAUACUGCUGGCCUCGAGGAGGAUAGGGGCAUCUGGAACGGUCGGUGGAGCGGUGAAAUGCGUUGAUAUCGACCGGAACUCCGGUGGCGAAGGCGAGGUGCUGGGUCCUUUCUGACGCUGAUGCGCGAAAGCCAGGGGAGCAAACGGG